rnacentral:lncRNA from 1 species
CAAAUAUUUCAGUUUAAUAAUUCCAACAUUCAGUACGUAUUUAAGUCUGAUACUAAUACAUGCUGGAUUUUUUAAUUUUAAACUGUGUUGUCUUUAUUGUUUUGUUUUACUUUUCUUUCUAUUGUCAUAUAACACACUGACCAAAGGCAAAGUAGAGGAAGAAAGGAUUUAUUUGGCUUGUACUUCCAGAUCAUUAAUCCACCACUGAAGGAAGUCAGAGCAGAAACUCAAGCAGGGACUUGAAGAAGAAACCAUGGAGGAAUACGGCUUGCUGGCUCACCUAAGGAAGACCACUGAAGCCACCGCAGACAGCAGAACCUCAAUCAGCUUGAAAGAGAAUGGGCUCAACAAAAGAGCAAACUGUCAACAGUGAUGAUGAGGUGCAACAUUCAACUUCACAGUUCUUGGAAUCGACUCUUCGGUAAGAUUCAGUUCUGCAGAGGCCUUCUUACUUUCUGUCCUUUCAUGAUAGCUGUAGCAAGUCACUCUGAGAGGAGACCUUAACAAAAGGCA